UACGUAGGGGGCGAGCGUUGUCCGGAUUUAUUGGGCGUAAAGAGCGUGUAGGCGGCCAGGUAGGUCUGCUGUGAAAACUCGAGGCUCAACCUCGAGACGUCGGCGGAAACCAUCUGGCUAGAGUCCGGAAGAGGAGAGUGGAAUUCCUGGUGUAGCGGUGAAAUGCGCAGAUAUCGAGAGGAACACCUGAGGUGAAGACGGGUUGCUGGGCCGACACUGACGCUGACAGCGCGAAAGCCAGGGGAGCAAACAGG
rnacentral:rRNA from 1 species